rnacentral:rRNA from 1 species
AAUCAACGCUGGCGGCGUGCCUCAGACAUGCAAGUCGAACGAUUAAAGCUCCCUUCGGGAGUGCAUAGAGUGGCGCACGGGUGAGUAACACGUAAGUAAUCUACCUUUGAGUGGGGAAGUAACAGUCGGAAACGGCUGCUAAUACCGCAUAAUGCAGCGGCAUCGCAAGAAUGACAGUUGUUAAAGGAAGCAAUCCGCUUAAAGAGGAGCUUGCGGCAGAUUAGCUUGUUGGUAAGGUAACGGCUUACCAAGGCUACGAUCUGUAUCCGGUCUAAGAGGACGGUCGGACACACUGACACUGAAUAACGGGUCAGACUCCUACGGGAGGCAGCAGUCGGGAA